rnacentral:lncRNA from 1 species
GAGUCGAGCCUAAGCUGCCGCCCGAUCUUACCCCUGACCCGAGGGCGGCCUGGAGAGCUUGGUCUGUAGCGGUUUCCUUCGGGGCAGGUGGGGACUGCUCCUUUGGGAGGAAGGAGGAGGCCCAGGCCGCGUCUUCAGGCAGCUGCGCGCACCACCCGAAGGUGAGGCAUUUGGCCCCAAACAGACCCUCGAAAAGCCGGACUGAUCGAGGAGUUACCCUACAGCCUGAUCUGCACCUGCUCCAGGGAGAGAGCGCCCCACCCUUCCCGUGGCGUGGGGUGAGACCCAGCGUUGGAUAACGUGUGGUCGGGCCGAGCAAAUGUUUGAUGAAUGAAUGAAUGAAUGAAUGCCUCUCUCACGUGGCACUCGUGAAGCUCAGAGGAUAUGGUGGAAGUGCAAGCGCUUUGUAAACUGCAGUGCAUUGUAAAAAUGAGUUGUAAUACAUUCCUCCCCUCCCCCUAGCCAUGAAAGGAAACAGGGGUGCGGCUUGAGUACAGAGUCACAACCUGAGUCUUUAGUGGAAAAGGAGACGAAAUGCCGAGCAAGGGAAGGGACCCAUCCUCGCGCAGAUUGUUAGGGCGGCGGGAAGGGAGGAUUGGAAGGGAGCCAUCCUCUGGGAGAUUGCUGAAGGAUUUUUGACUGUCAGGGGAAGAAUUUAAUAGUCCCUCACUUUUACGAAUGGUUCUUUCUUACGGUUUGGAGCUUUCGAGAGCUUCUGGUCUUGGUUCAUCAGUGUACGUUGUCAUCAAGAAAUGUUGGCCUGUUUCAGGUCUGACUCAAAGGUUAUUUUCUUUCUAAAAUAAGUGUUAUUACUAUUAUGCAGCUUUUCCUACAGAUGUUAUCCUGGAAAGGAAAGUUAAGUAGAAACUCAUGAAGUUUAAAGUGUAGUUCUCUAGGAAAACAAAUUUAAGAUAAAAGGACCAGAAUCCUCAGAAAUCUGUCUUCAGUGAAUAGUAUGAGAAAAAGAUUAAAGCAGCAGCAAUGAUGAAAGCAGAUUCCACAAUUCUGUCCCUGGACCCUAGUACACUCUACCUCCUUGGGAAGCAGUAGUAAUGGAUUUUACAAGUCUUUCCACCUGGAGGAGGGGGUAAGGUAGGAGCAAGUGUAUUAUAGACAAAUGUGGGAAGCUCUGGGUUUCUCCCACUACUGCCACUACCAUCUGCAAACAGUAAACUAAGGAAACUUUUAACUGGGUAAAUCCAAGGGCUCGUGUUCAUUAAAAUGCUGCGGGAAAGGUGGUGAGAGGGGCAAAGGAGGAUGUGGCAAAACCAAGGAGAGACUCACAGACUAGCACCUGACCCUACUGCCCUUGACCUGAAGUUCCAAGAGCCAGGUUAAAUAUCCUGCUUAAAUUACCCUGGAUUUUUCUGUCUUUACGUGACCAAUCCCCUGCUACAGCCUUCCAAAUAAGACUCACAGGUAAUCAGACCAACAAGUGAUGGUCUCACAUGGCUACAAAAUAAAUAUUUUUUGUUUUUCCCCCUCUUCCUAUCUUACAACAGGGGAAUGGUGGAAAUUAAAGGAGUAAAACACACAGAUUUAGGGGAUUUUGUGAAGCUAAACACCUCAGAGAGUUUAACCUUUGUAGGCUUUGAAGGAAAAGAGUGCAAACAUCAGAGUUCUGCAGCCCAGCAGAGAACACCUCCAGUUAAGUGUGUACCACAUAGGGUUUUUCAGCAGCGUGAUCUUCUGUUUUCAUUGUCAGUGGCUCCACCUUACAACCUCAGUGCUGAGGAACAGAAGGGCACUCAGGAGAGCCUGAGCCACUUACUUAGAAAGUAUUUAAUAACAGCACACUAAGCUUACUGGGCUAGAUACCCACCUCAGCACCCAGCUUGAUAACAGGAGGAAACAGCUGGAACUGGAGACUGGAGAGAAGGAAGUUCAUACAUUUCCAACUUGGUCUGCAUCUCUUUAGUUCCUUGUAUUGCUUAUUAAUCCAGAGGAGAAAACAGCUAGUUAAUUAAAAAUUCCAAAAAAUCUGAAGUUUUAGCUAAUAGUUACUUCCCUGGUUCAUCAAUUUAAGAUAAGGAUCUAAAUACUGUGUUAAAAUAUAGAAAAACGGAGACUCUUAUAAGGUUUUUGACCUCUACACUUGAAAGUGAGCUCUUACAAGAAACUAAUCAGUGUUUCGUUAUUCCAUAUCAGUGGCUUUUACUGUCAAAGAUUGUGUAAGCUAAAUUAUCUGGCAAAAUUUUGCUUUCCAGAAAUACUAUCUAUAUUAAUUUUAACAUUUUUAUUGUGAAAUAUAGUUUAAAUACAUAAAGCAAUUAUAUAGUAUAAGUGAUUAUAAAGGAAACCACCAUGUAACCAAUCAACCAGGUCAAGAAAUGGAAUAUUUCCAGCAACUCAGAAGUUCCCCUCCCUGCCAUGACCUUCCCGAACACAACUCUUUCCCUCCCUCCUAAGUGUAGUCAUUAUUCUAACAUUUGUGAUAAUCAUUUCCCUGCUUUUCUUUGUCGCUUUGUCGCAAGCAUGCAUCCCUAAACAAUAUAUUGUUUAGUCUCACUCUUUCUUUUGAACUUUAUGUAACUGGAACAAUAUAAUAUGUAAUCUGUUGUUCUUGCUGCUUUUGCUCAACAUUGUUUUUAAUUCAUAUGUUGUUCAGGUUGUUCCUAUAGCUGUAAUUUGUGCAUUUUCAUUGCUGCAUAUUACAGUGUCCCAUUAUAACAAUAUGUGACAAUAUGUUUAGCCAUUCUAUUGCUGAUGGACAUCUGGGUUGUUUCCAGUUUAGGAUUGUUAUAAAUGCUAAUGUGAACAUUCUUCAUAUAUGUAUUCCAUCACAUCUACGUCAGUUUCUGUAUAACAUAUACCUGGGAGUGUAAUAUGUAUCAUAAACUUGAAUAAAUAAUGCCAAGUUCUUUUCUAGAGGGUUACACAGUCACACUAGGUAUAUAUGAGUCCCAUUGCUCCACACCUUCACAACACUUGACAUUAUUGGUCUUUUUGGUUUUGCCAGUCUGGUGGGUGUAUGGUAAUAUAUCAUUGUGGUUUUAACUGUCAUUUCUCUGAUUACUGAUGCUGUUGAGGACCUUCUUGUAUACAACUAGCUAUUUGGAUUUACAUUUUUGUGGCGCGUUAGUAUCUUUUCAAUGUCUAAGUCUCUGAGAUGCCCAACUUUUCAAUAUCCUUUCAUAGUCCACAUUUGAACAGGUAAAGUAAUGUUAUGGGAUGUUUAGGGUGUCGCUUUUCUGGCCAGAAACCUCUGUAGCCUGUGGCGCCUUUGCACAAGUCUUGCUCAGGCCCACUGGGCUCAUUCCACCUACUUGGCCUGGCAGGCUGUGCUCAGCUUAUGCUACCGGCCUGGAUCCCACACCUGCCAAGGGCAAGUACGGCGUGGAGUGGCAAGGCAUGUGUGAGCGAGCGUGAGGUCUGGCUACUGCGCAGUCAGACACACCAGCUGCUGCAGUGGGGCGGGCAGCUCCAGAUGCACCAGCUCUCUGCAAGGCUGUGGCUGGACCAGGCAUACUGCAAGCAGCUUCCACAGCUGGCACCAGGGAACACAUUGGCACCCGGAAGCUUGGAGACGCCAGGAACUGCAGGGACCCAAAGAGGGAGUCACAGUGUUGGCUUGGGGAGCUCCCAGGUCUGGGCUCCCCAAAAGGCCACAGCCCUUCCCUCCUCUUCACCCGCAACGUGGCAAGCAAUGGGGAUGUCUCAGCCCCAUUUGUGUUAUAUCUCGUUUAGCCUCGCCAUCUGGCAGGUCCCAAGUUCUUGUCCCGUGACCAGGAAGAAUGAGGUACACAGACAAGUGGAGGGUGAGCAAGAUGUUAUUGAGUAAUGGAACAGCUGAGAGGAGACCCACAGUGGAUAGCUCCUUUCUGCAGCCAGGGUGUCCCAGUGAGUGUUCAGCUGCUAGCAGGGAGGGCAGCUCCUUUCUGCUAGGCAGGUUGUCCUGAUGAGUUUUCAGCUCUCAGCAGAGAGGAGAGCUCCUCUAUGCAGGAAGGUUGUCCCAACAAGUGUUCAGUUCUCAGCAGGGAGGAUAGCUACUCUCUGCACCUGGUCAUCCUAACAAGUAUUCAGCUAGCGGCAAAGAAGGUAGCUCCUCUCUGCAGCUGGUCAUCCAUCGCCUGCUCAGUUCUGACUGAGCCCCGGGCCUCAGGGGAGGAAGUGCAUGCUGAUUGGUCCUUGGGCAGGCCUAGGAAAAAGCACCAUAAGUUCCCCCUCUAGUGUGCAGGAUGGGCAGUCCAAUCCCCAGGCUUCAGGCCUUCCCCAGCCUAAAGGUGGGACUUCACUGGGAACCCGCUCCUUUCCACACUGGAGCCUGUCUGCCUCCUACCACUUUUCAUGGCACCCAGGCUAUUUCUGCAGAGGGGCGCCUGUGGGGCCAGCACAGGGCUACCCUCAGCCCUGCCAACCCUUGCCUCCCUCCCAUGCUUGUCAGCGCCCAACAUCUAGAGGGGGCGGAAGCAGCAGUGGGCUAGCAUGUCAGUACUGCCGCAAGCCUGCACAUACCCAGCCGGGCUGUGACAGUGCCCAGGCUUGACCCCAACCCCAUUCUGAGAUCAGAGCAGGUGCUAGGAGCAGGGAGAGGCCAAGCAGUGGGAACAGACACCCAGGGCCUGCAAGGGCAAGGGGGCCUUCCCGUCCCCCAGAGGGUGCAGAGUGCGGAGAUGCCCUGGUCCUGCACCUGGGAGGGUAGGGCUGCCGCCUGCUGCAUGGAGUGUGCAGGCAGCCCCAGCUGCGCCUGUUUGCAACCCAGCGCGGGGACUCCAGGUCCUUGCUGGGCCCUCCUCUGCCCACCUCUCCGUGCCCGACCAUGCUGCUCCCCUGCUGGCAAGCAGCUCAGCGCUGCCCCAUCACAGCAGCCCCCAGGGCAGUGGGCUCUGGGGACUGUCCGCCUCCUCCCCACGUGCUCCCCACAGUGGCAGUGGGUGAUCGCAGUGAUUCAGGGUCAAGGUCUGGAGCAGUGGAGGCUCCAGUACUGGGAACGGGUCCUGCCUGGCCAUAUGAGGAUGGGUACGGGGGGCAGCACAGUUGUCCACCUCGGGAACGCGGGGCACAAAGGUCCCACAACUGCCACUGCCACUCCCACAGCCACUCCUGCCACCACCGCUCACACAUCCACGCUGCAGCCAGCAUGAUGGCAGUGGCUGCUCCGGACAGCCUGCCACUGCCAUCAGUAAUGCCACCACUUGAGUUAUAUUUGGGACAAGUUCCUUCCAAAAUAAGAAUAAUUAUAGGUUACCUAGUUUUUUUUUUAUUAAUUUGAUUAUAAACUUUUUUUUUAGACAGGGUUUCACUGUGUCACAAAGGCUGGAGUACAGCGGUUAAAUCAUAGCUCAUUGAAGUCGUGAACUCCUGGACUCAAGCGUUCCUCCUGCCUCCGCUUCUCAAGCAGCUAGGACUAUAGGCACUUGCCACCACCCAGCGAAUUUUUUUAUUGUUUAUAGAGACGGGGUCUCACUGUGUUGCCCAGGCUGGUCUCAAACGCCAGGACUCAAGCAAUCCUCCAGCCUCAGCCUCAGGUGUGAGCCACCAUGCCCACCCUAUAAACUUUUUUUUCUUUACUUUUUUCUUUUUCUUUUUUUUUUUUUUUUUUUGAGACAAAGUCUCACUCUAUCACCCAGGGUGGAGUGCAUUGAUGUGAACACAGCCCACUGCAGCCUCAACCUGGGCUCAAUGGAUUCUCCUGCCUCAGCUUCCUGAGGCCACAGGGAUGCACCACCACACCCAGCUAAUAAACUUCUUAAAAGUAGGCCUAUAGGGCUUUUUUUUUCUUUACUAUCCAAAAUCAUGCAAUUUUUCAACUAUUGGGCUAUUGCCAGCAAUCCCUCAUGGUGGUUUUUAUUUUUGUUGUAUUUUAGUUUCCUCUGAGAAUAUAAAGGCAAUUUUAAUUCUCUUGAAUCUGUGUAACUAAACUUGGUUUUUGUUGCUUUGUAUUUUUCUCAAGACAAUCGUGUAAAAAGUUGUUUUCCCUGCACAUAUUUUUUUCAUUUCCCAGGUUCAUUGAUUUUUUAAAAGUCACAGUGGCUUUUUCUUUCCUCCUAACAUUCCUGCUACAAUUUAUGGAUUUUUUUUUUAAUUUCACUCAUUUACAUCAAAUACACAACAUUGGUGUCACUGCCUGGCAUAUUUUCCCAACAUACUACAUUUUAUUAUUUUCAUUAAUUUCUUAUCUCUCAGUUCUUUGUUUAGAAUCAGUGAUAUUUUAAAACUGGAGGAAGGUGAGACCCAGAGAAAUUGACUUAGCCAGAGUCAGGAGGGCAAGUAAAUGUGAAGCCCGGACUCCACCCCAAGUCUUCAAAUAACAGUAUGCUUGCCAUUAUAUCACACUGACUCUGUCUUCUGGAACAAUAAGGUAAAUUAAUUCCCAAGGUCUGUAGAAUAUUGUUCAUUUCCACAUGGCAGACCUCUUAUUCUACAAUUGAAUAAGGUUUAUUUUAAGCCUAACAGCUUUAGGAUCAGAUUAAUAUUGAUACUAAUAGAAAUAAUUUUUUAAAAAAUUAAAGAUUAGGCUGGACGCAGUGGCUCAAGUCUGUAAUCCCAGCACUUUGGGAGGCCGAAGCAGGUAGAUCACCUGAGGUCAGGAGUUCGAGACCAGCCUGACCAAAAUGGAGAAACCAUCUCUCUACUAAAAGUACAAAAUUUGCCGGGCAUGGUGGCGCAUGCCUGUAAUCCUAGCUACUCGAGAGGCUGAGGCAAGAGAAUCGCUUGAACCCGGAAGGCAGAGGUUACGGUGAGCCGAGAUCGUGCCAUUGUACUGCAGCCUGGGCAACAAGAGUGAAACUCUGUCUCAAAAAAAAUAAAUAAGUAAAAUAAAGAUUAAUAUAAAUAGUAGCACUAAAAAUGGAUUAAAUGGAAGAAAACUUGCUUUAAAAAAAAUAAAGUUUCUCCACUCUCCCCUUCAUCCCUUAUGGCCAAUCUGUCACUGGUCCCUAUUGCUUCUUCAAAGAAUCGCCAUACUUCCUUAAUAACUGAGAAAAGAGUUUUACCAAAUAAAAGUGUCAAAUGUUGCAGGAAUGCCAUUGGAUUUGGUAAUGAGUUUCUUAAUAAUUUCAUAGUACUGUAAAAAUGUUGGAGGCGCUCAGAAUUUAAUGAUAUUUUAAAAUACAAGAACAGGCCAGGCACAGUGGCUUAUGCCUGUAAUCCCAGCACUUUGGGAGGCCGAGGCAGGCAGAUCACUUGAGGUCAGGAGUUUGAAACUAGCCUGGCCAAAAUUGUGAAACCCUGUCUCUACUAAAAAUACAAAAAUUAGGUGGGUGUGGUGGCUUGCGCCUGUAAUCCCAGCUACUCGGGAGGCUAAGGUAUGAGAAUUGCUUGAACCCAGGAGGCAGAGUUUGCAGUGAGCCAAGAUGGUGCCAGGGCACUCCAGCCUGGGCGACAGAGUGAGACUUUGUCAUAAAAUAAUAAAAUAAAUAAAAUAAAAUAAUUAAAAUACAAAUCAACCUGGAAAACUUACAGACUAAUGAUGAGAUUUCCCCUGCGUUACCUUUCUGAUCAUCUGGGUUUACAAAAAGAUUAAUUCUGAAGAUUAAUGAUAGAUGACUACUGGUUUUAAUAGAAAAUAAAAUAACUAUGAAUCAUUUAUAAUCAUUGAAAAUGUAACCUUUAGCUUUAGAGGAAUCCUUCAGGAUACAAGCCAGUUGGUUUUGUCAUAAAUAGUCAUGAAAUAUUUUAUCAAUAAAAUCCAGCUAUUUUUAAAAUUAAAAAUUGAGUAAAACAGGAUUAAAAAUAACUUUAUAAAAAUAUUAAGGUAGGCUUAAAUGUAACUAAACUUGUAGAGCAAAGCCUUUAAAAUGUUCUGGCUUGAAAUUCAAAGUUAAAUUAUUGAAUUAACACUAGGGAGUUCCCAAAGGGACCAGCUUUAUAAAUAUUAUUAGUAUAUUUUUUGUUUUAACUUCCAAAAGGCAGUAUUGAGUCAAUAAAAUUUUACUGUCACUUACUAUUUUCUAGCACUAGAGCAACGUGCUGAACAUACAGUGAUGAGAAGAGGAAAAAAAAGACCUUGUCCCUCCCUUCAUGGAGCAUACAGUCUGAUACCUAGAAUGUGCCAGACUCAGUGCUUGACCCCAGCCACUACCAUCUAAAAUUAUUUUAUCUAGGCUGGCCACGGUGACUCACGCCUGUAAUCCCAGCACUUUGGGAGGCAAGGCAGGUGGAUCACUUGACCUCAGGAGUUCGAGACCAGCCUGGCCAACAUAGCGAAACCCCCUCUCUACUAAAAAUACAAAAAUUAGCUGGGUGUGGUGGCGCAUGCCUGUAAUCCCAGCUACUCGGGAGGCUGAUGGAGGAGAAUCACUUGAACCCAGAAGGCGGAAGUUGCAAUGAGCCAAGAUCACGCCAUUGCACUCUAGCCUGGGCAACAAGAGCGAAACUCCAUCUCAAAAAAAUUAAAAUAAAAUUAUUUGAUCUAUAUUUCCUGAGGAUGUGGUCUACAAAUAAAUGAGUCACUGCUUGCAUUCUCAGGAUAAACAAAUGGUAUUCUAGAAACCUUCAAUCCUAUUUGUCAUUUUUCAAAUUUUCAUUAUGGCCGUUUUUAAAAAUACAGAAACAUGGCCUGGCAUGGCGACUCACGCCUGUAAUCCCAGCACUUUGGGAGGCCAAGGCAGGUGGAUUGAUUGAGCCCAGGAAUUCGAGACCAGCCUGGGCAAAUUGGUGAAACCCCAUCUCUACAAAAAAUACAAAAAUUAGCUGGGUGUGGUGGCAUACACCUGUAGUCCCAGCCACUCAAGAGGCUGAGGUAGGAGGAUUACCUGACCCAGGGAGGUUGAGGCUGCAGUGAGCUGUGAUCAUGCCACUGCACUCCAGCCUGGGCAACAGAAUGAGAUCCUGUCUCAAAAAAAAAAAAAAAUACAGAAACAUUGAACAUUACAAUAUAUAAUACAACAUAAUGCUCAUAAUACCAUCAUAUGCCCAGGCUAUUUCUCUUCCUUUGCCAUCUUUAUUGCCAUCUAUGUCAUGUUGACUUUUAUCAUAAAACCCAUUCCCUGAUGACUCACAAAUAAGCUGCAGAUCCUCCGGAAUCACAUCCACACUGAUUAUUUUCCCAAUAUUCCCAGCACAAUUCUGUUUAGCUCUCCUUGAUAGAGUGGUGUCUUAAGGCCAUACCCAGCUCUAAAGAAGGCUGAGAAGGCCCCGAGCAUUGUUGCCCAAAGUGAGGUUUAAGGUCUGUUAAUAAGGAAAGCAGAAAGAAUAGUUAUAGGGUAGAAAAUUACCAGUGUCUGACACACUCUUAAAGAUGUUUUUAUUAAACAAAGGGACCAUCUAUCCCAGAGAUGAAAUGCCACUUUCUAAACCCCAGAGGUAACUGCCAUUGGUUUUUCUUUUAAAUGGCAAUUUCCCCCCCAAUGCUUUGCAUACAAGUAUCAGCAAUAUGUUGAGUCUCCUUUUUGGCUUCUUAUAGUUUAAAAAUUCUAGCAAUUUAAUUUCAGGAGCAUUCUUUAAUGUAUGAGUUUGUGGUCUCCAGAUAGUUGGCUUUGUGUCCUGUACAUCAUAAUUGCAAAACACAUUUUGUUGUGCGUGCGUGUGUGUGUGUGUGUGUGUGUGUGUGUGUGUGUGUGUGUGUGAUGGAGUCUCACUCUGUCACCCAGGCUGGAGUACAGUGGCGCGACCUCAGCUCACUGCAACCUUCACCUCCCGAGUUCAAGCGAUUCUCCUGCCUCAGCCUCCCAAGUAGCUGGGACUACAGGCACGUGCCACCACGCCUGUCUAAUUUUUGUAUUUUUAGUAAAGAUGGGGUUUCACCAUGUUGGCCAGGCUAGCGUCGAAUUCCUGAUGGGUGAUCCGCCUGCCUCGGCCUCCCAAAGUGCUGGGAUUACAGGCAUGAGCCACUGCGCCUGGCCAAAACACAUUUUAUUAGUGGUAUUUUCAACUCUUUUUUUUAGGCCCAUAUUUAAGAAUGAUUAUCAUUUCCUUUUAAAACCAAAACUAAACAUUAUGUUUAUUUAUUUUAAAACAAUCUGAAACCUACAGAAAAGUUGCAAGUCCACUACAAAUCACUCUUUUAUAUUGAGCCAUUUGGGCGUCAGUUGCUAACCUGAUGCCCUAUAUGUGGGACAUUCUCCAACAGAAACACAGUACAACAAUUAAAAUUGAUUUUUUAGGCCGGGAAUGGUGGCUCAAGCCUGCAAUCCCAGCACUUUGGGAGACAAAGGUGGAGGACCAUUUGAUGCGAGGAGUUCAAGACCAGCCUUGCCAAUAUGCAAAACCCCAUCCCUACUAAAAAUACAAAAAUUAGCCAGGCAUGGUGGUAAACGCCUAUAAUCCCAGCUACUCAGGAGGCUGAGGCAGGAGAAUCGCUUGAACCUGGGAGGCAGAGGUUGCAGUGAGCUGAGAUCAUGCCACUGCACUGUAGCCUGGGAGGCAGAGGUUGCAGUGAGCUGAGAUCACGCCACUGCACUGUAGCCUGGGAGACAGAGCUACAGUCU